CCAAUUGAGCUCCAUACCCUUCUCUCCGCUCCCCCGGCCUAAAACCCCACCGCAGAAAAUGCUCCUCCGCCCCCUCCUCCGCCAUGGCGGCGCCGCCGCCGCCGCGGCAGCCUCCGCCGGCAUCCGCGCCACCGCUCCCCACGACCCUCCCGCCGCGCUGGCCUCCCUCCUCCUUUCGUUCCGAUCCUACGCGAAGGCGAAGGCGAAGGGCGGGGGCAAGCCGGCGGCGUCCACGUCGAACCGUGGGAAGGUCCGCGCCAAGGACCCGCGCGGAGUGGCGUCAGCCGACGACGCUGCGGGGGGCGACUUCUCCGCCGGAGGCGGGGGCGGUGCCGGGGGCGACGACAUUGACGCCGAGUUCGAGAUGCCCACCGACCCGCUGCCCCCGACCUACGAUCCCGCGCUCGAUGUCGGCCCCGGCGGACGCCGGCUCUUCGCCUUCACUGACACCUUCGGGUCCUUCGCCCACCGCGACGCCAACGUCUACGUCGACUUCACUUUGGAUGAAUGGAAUGCCAUGUUACCAGAGGGGUUGCCAGCAGGGAUGAUGAAGGAGUUUCAGGAGACGAGACGGUGUGCUGUGAUGGUGAGGAAGAGCUUCCUAGAUCUCCGGGAUAAUUUCCGUAGGAUUGUUGAUCCAGCCAUUACAACCAAGCUCAAAGAUAUCAAAAAACAAAUUGUCUUGGAUGGCCCACGGAGUUGCGGUAAAAGCAUUGCACUUGCUAUGCUUGUCCACUGGGCACGUACUGAAGGAUGGCUGGUAUUCUAUGUUCCGCAAGGGAAGGAUUGGACUCAUGGAGGAUUCUUCUAUAGAAACACAUACAGUGAAUUUUUCGAUACACCAGUACAAGCUGCAAAGAUCUUGCAGGAUUUUUUGAAGUACAAUGAAACACGCUUACAACAAUUACCAUGUCAAAUUCUUGAGCCCAUUCCCCUGGGAGAAGGUGCUGGUGUUGGAAUGAUGAAAGGGGCUGACACAACGGAAAUGCCUGAAGGGUCCACAUUGUAUGAUCUCAUUCAAACUGGGAUAACCCACACACAGGCUUCAGUUGGUGUUGUAGUUCGCUUAAGGAAGGAGUUGUCACUUGUUAAAGACGUGCCUGUAUUAUUUGCUAUUGAUCAGUACAAUAGUUGGUUUACAUUCAGUGACUUCCAGGAACCUGUAACUGUUAGGUCUUGUCGACCAAUUCAUGCGAAAGAGCUUACAACGGUUAGUGCUUAUAGGUCAAUGUUGCAUAAUGAUAUGAUGGUAGGAGCCUUUUCACACUCAACCGCAGUUGGGAAACUACGGCAGGAGCUGCCAGAUGUUCCUUCUGAUGCUCGUUUGAUGUUUCCACGUUACACCUUAGAUGAAGCUGAGACUGUGUGUCACUAUUAUAUGAGGCAAAAGAUCAUUCGGCGUGAGAGUUUUUCAGAAGAGAAGUGGAAAAAGAUCUAUUAUUUAUCAAAUGGAAACGGCUCAGAGAUGAGGUGGCUUGCUGCCUUUGUUUGAGGUAGUAAACUCCUGAAAUUGUUCAAUAGCUGCAAUAUCACAUUCUUAAGGAAAAAUUUCUCAUACCCUGAUAUGUUAGCUGUCUAGAAAGAUCGCCACUUCUGUUUCAGCAUGCUGUUCGAUAGAACAAUUCUCCAUUGUUGUAUACUUGUAAUCUGUCUUAUGGAAUUCCUAGGAGAAAAAUGGCUACCUAAGCACAUUUCCAAGAUUUUAUUUCCCCAGCAGUUCAAGAGGGAACAUGUUUGGCUACAAGCCUGCUGCUUCAAAUGUCACCUAUAUGUUUCAGACAACAUUCUCCAUGUGUGCUGAGUAGAAUUUGAAGAGCCAAAACAUUAGUUCGUGGUGCUCAUUUAUAUCAUGAGGUGUCAUGAAGUCCUGCUUAGUGAUGCUAUAUAUGAAAUAAUAACCAACUGAUGUAUAACAUUGGUCUUGGAGAAGUUUUAACAUGUUUUGGUUCCCAUAA